AUGGAUACCUUGGCAUUAAAUAAAGAGGACGUAAGUAUGCGAAAAGUUACAGGGAGUUUAAUACUGUGAUCUGUAAAUUUCCUUGAGUAAACUCAUUUAAUUUUUUUUCUAUUUAAUGAAUUGAAACAUCUUAGUAAUUAAAAGUAAAAUAAAUCAAACGAGAUUUCAUUAGUAGCGGUGAGCGAAUGUGAAUUAGGCCUUUUAUUUGUAUUAAUCAGUAGAAAAUUUUCGAAUAAAUUACCAUAGAGAGUAAAAGUCUCGUAUAUAAAAAAUUAAUACUUAUAAGUGAGUAAAACGAAAUUUAUGUUUUUUUGUUUGAAUAUAGGGAAACCAUUCUCUAAGCCUAAAUAUUGUUUAAUGACCGAUAGUGAACGAAGUACUGUGAAGGAAAGGUGAAAAGGAUAUUAAUUGAAAGGAAGUAGAGUAUAGGUGAAAAGUUCUUGAAAUUAAGAGUUUUCAAGCAAUUGAAAUAAAUAAAAAAAAUUUUAUUUGUAACAAUGUACCUUUUGUAUAAUGGGUCAGCGAGUUAAUUUUAUUAGCGAGUUUAAGCUAAUAAGUGUAGACGAAGCGAAAGCGAAUUUGAAAAAUAGUGUAUAGUUAAUAGAAUUAAACCCGAAACCAAAUGAUCUAAUUAUGUGCAGGUUGAAUUUAUGUUAACACGUAAUAGGAGGACCGAACCCACAUCUGUUGAAAAAGAUGGGGAUGACAUGUAAUUAGGGGUGAAAGGCUAAUCAAAUUUGGAGAUAGCUGGUUUUCUACGAAAUUUAUUUAAGUAAAGUGUUUUUUUUUUUUUUUAAGGGUAGAGCACUUAAUGGAUGAUGGGGAGUGUAUUCUUACUGAUUUCAAGUAAACUUCGAAUAUUAAAUAAAAUUUAAAAGCAAACAGACUGUGGGUGCUAAGAUGCAUAGUCAAAAGGGAAAAAGCCCAGAUUAAAAGUUAAGGUCCUUAAAAACAAUUUAGUGAGAAAGAUGUAAACAAUACCAAGACAAUCAAAAGGUAGGCUUAGAAGCAGUCAUCCUUUAAAGAAAGCGUAAUAGCUCAUUGAUUUAUUUAAGUUUGUUUUUAUCAAUAAUUUAUAGGGACUGUAAAUUGUUUACCGAAACUUUAAAAAGAAUUUUUAAUUCUUUGGUAGUAGAACGUUUUGUAUUUUAGUGAAGUUAAAUUGUGAAAUUUAAUGAAGAAAUCAAAAUUGAGAAUGCUGACAUGAGUAACGAUAAAUAACAUAUUGAGAACAAAAAUUGUUAUCGCCGUAAGUUUAAGGUUUUCUGUGUAAAGUUCAGCUGCAUAGAGUUAGUCGGUCCCUAAGAAUAAAAUGAAAAUUAAAUUUGAUGGGCAUUAAUAUUAAUAUUUUUAAACAAUUUUUUUAUAUAGUGACAAAUUUUUAACUUUAAUUUUAAAUUAUUAGAUUUUUAUUGUUAAUUUAAAAAUUUCGAGAAAAAACUAUAAAAAUAAAAACCGUACUAAAACCAACACAGGUGAACUAGUAAAAGUAUACUAAGGCGCGUGAGAGAACAAUAUUGAAGGAACUCGGCAAAAUGACUCUGUAACUUUUGAAUAAAGAGUGUUUUUUUAAAGAAUUUUUUUAAAAGAAUGUGACAGAAUAGAGGGUAGCGACUGUUUAAUAAAAACACAGGACUCUGCUAAAUUGUAAAAUGAAGUAUAGGGUCUGACGUCUGCCCGGUGCUGCAAGAUUAAGAGGAGAAGUUAACGCUUUGAAUUUAAGUCCCAGUAAACGGCGGCUGUAACUCUGACGGUCCUAAGGUAGCGAAACUCCUUGUCGAGUAAUUUUCGACCUGCAUGAAUGACGUAACGACUUCCCUACUGUCUCCAGUAUUGACUCAGUGAAAUUGAAUUUUUCGUGAAGAUGCGAAAUUUUUACAGAUAGACGGAAAGACCCUGUGCACCUUUACUAUAGUUAUAAAUUAUAAGAGAAAGCAAAAUAUGUAGAAUAGAUAUUAGUUUAUAAUCCUUUGAUGCAAAUUAACAGGGGAGACUUCUCUGAAAUAGUAUUUUUUUUAUUUUCUUUUAUUAACUUUUUUUUUAUAAAAAGGACAUUUUAUAAUGGGUAGUUUAACUGGGGCGGUUGCCUCCUAAAGAGUAACGGAGGUAUACAAAGGUAAGCUCAAAAAAGUUUCAUAUUUUUUGAAGAGUGCAAUGGCAUAAGCUUGCUUAACUGUUAGAUUUACUAAUCAAACAGAGACUUUAAAGUCGGUCAUAGUGAUCCGGUGAUUCUGAAUGGAAAGAUCAUCGCCUAUGGAUAAAAGGUACGCCAGGGAUAACAGGCUAAUGAUUCUUGAGAGCUCAUAUCGACGGGAUCGUUUGGCACCUCGAUGUCGAUUCAUCACAUCCUGGAGCUGAAGAAGGUUCCAAGGGUUCGGUUGUUCGCCGAUUAAAGUGGUACGUGAAUUGGGUUUAGAACGUCGUGAGACAGUUCGGUCCCUAUCUUCUGUAAACUUUAGAAAAUUGAGAAAUCUUGACUUUAGUACGAGAGGACCAAGAAAAAUAUGUCAAUGGUGCAUUGAUUGUUGUGCUAACAGCAUCGUCAAGUAGCUAAACAUUAAUUUAUAACCGCUGAAAGAAUAUAAGUGGGAAGAAAAUUUCGAGACUGAUUUUCUUUUAAGAUUCGUAAAAGAACAUUACGUAUAAAAUAGGUAAAGUGUAUAAGUAUUGCAAAAUAUUUAGCAUAUUUAUUACUAA
rnacentral:rRNA from 1 species